rnacentral:rRNA from 1 species
UCCGUAGGGAGCAAGCGUUGUCCGGAAUCAUUGGGCGUAAAGCGCGCGUAGGUGGCCCCGUAAGUCCGCUGUGAAAGUCAAAGGCUCAACCUUUGAAAGCCGGUGGAUACUGUGGGACUAGAGUACGGAAGAGGCGAGUGGAAUUCCUGGUGUAGCGGUGGAAUGCGCAGAUAUCAGGAGGAACACCAAUAGCGAAGGCAGCUCGCUGGGACGUUACUGACACUGAGGCGCGAAAGCGUGGGGAGCGAACAGG